AAGUGCCCACACACUCUCAUUAGAAUGCAAAUCUCUCUCCCUUUCUCUCUCUCUCUCCGGGGAAGAAUGCUGAACGGUGAAAACCAGUGCUCCACCAGGUGAGAGAGACCGGAGAGCCGUUCGAAAGCGAACGGAGGCGAUUAGGAAGCAAGCCGCUGGUCUCGGAGAACCUAUCGCCAAGCAGCAGCAGAUGGUGUUGGAAACACAGAGUAUAAAAACAUCUCCAUCAUUUGAAGAAGCCAACGGUGUCUGUGCAUCACAUACGCGAAAUGGUUCUGCCGAUAGAAGGAGUUACUUUCUGGGAGAGGUUACGCAGCCAUAUCAAGCUGAACCUGAUGUAGAGCUGAAUCUAUCAGUCGGUGAUCACGCCAUUGUCCCAAAGAUCGAAAAAAUUCAAGAAUCUGAACUAUCAAAUUUUAAUUCAAAGAUACAAGGUAUGCACUGGCCGCAUUUCUAACCUUUCUUCUAUUAAUGUUUGCCAUCUACUUUGUCUAUUUAGAAUACAUAUGCCACUUUGGUUUGGGUAGUAAAUCAAUGGUGAUGCACUUGGGUUAUGAGAUAUUUUGAUGGGAGAGUUAUUCACGAUGUUUGUUUCGUGUUAUAUUAUCCACUACUGUAUUUCGUAUUGUGUUUCGUAUUCCGAUGACUGACUAAGUUAAAAGGCUGAGUUGUUGAUAGAUGGUUGUGGUGCAACACUUGUUGUGGAUGAUGCUGUAUUUAGUGAUAUUCGGGUGUUGUCUUGUAGAAUUUGUCCGCCACUAUUAAUUAUAAUUCUUGUGAGAAGCCCAAAUUGCAUAUUUUGCAUGACGGGAUAUUAACACAUGCUGCUUUUGAGUAUACUCAUGCUAUUUUUAAAAGGUUUUAUGAAGAAUUUUUACAAAUUGAAAUCAAGUAUUGUUUUCAAUGGAUUGGUUUAUGAAUACACUCUCAAGUGUUAGGAGAUUCAAGGUGAACAUAUUAUCUCAUGUUGAAUUUUUAGUUUCUUAUGAAUGUAAAUUAUUUGAAUAAAAAAUGUAUGUAUUGAAUGAGAACGUAUCGGUUUCAGUUGUUCCAUCUUAUAUUUCAAAAGAUAUGGACUAAGAGUGCAAAGUAAAGGUAUAUUGAUGAUGAAUUUCAUGAAAUGUUACUAGGUCCAUCUACCUUUAAUAGAUUUUCCACAUUAUGCAAAAUGCUUAUGAAGUGAUGAGUUUGGGAGCUCAAGAUGUAAAUACUAUGAGAAUAACAAAGAACUUGGAUGCAAUAGUAAUUGAAAUUUCAUGAUAUAACUCAAGUAUGGUUGCGACAGAUGGUGCUAGUGAUAAUGAUGAUAAUGAAGUUUCUUUGUGUGAUUUGUCAGUAUUAGAUUCCCUUCGGAUCCCUUUGAAGAAAAGGAAAUGGAAUAAGUUAUGGAAUGCUUACAAGCUCAAGUGAGGAAAAAAAAGAAAAAAAUCCAAUAAAGUAAUACUUGAUGCUGGUAGAAAAUCAAGCUGGCUGUCCAAGCAACGUUCAAGUAACGUCCAAGCAACGCAUGUUGAGACUCAUUUGUGAGAAUGAAUUAUUCAAGAAAUUCAAAUCAAAUUCAAAAUGCAUUUUUGUCUUGGCAACCUUGAAUGGUCUUGUAGUAAAUCUUAAUUUUUAUAAUGAGGUAUGUCUCUCUAAGUUCAACAUCUGUAUUUGCAUUUUAUUAAUUUGAUCAUUUUGUUUUUCAUAUAGAUGCAACUGGCAUACAUUAUGCCACCAAGAAUUACGAAUGGGUUUUUCCUAUUCACUAAUCAAUAUAUUAAUUUAAUGUUUGGCUGAAAUUUAAUGUCCCAUAGAAGUAUUUUGUUACAUUCUAUUAAUGAGGUCAUUAUUUUUAUAUAGUUGCUAUCAUCAUACUUCAUGCUAUGAGGGACUAUGAAAGCCAUUUAAGAUUGCAGCGUUGUUUCAUUUAUAAUAAACUAUUUAAGUGCUUGUUGAUAAUGGUUUCUGGAGUAUCGUAAUAGAUCCCAUGAAACAUUAUGAAUCAGGUCUAAGUUGUCUCACUUUUGUCGAUGUGACAUUAUUUGACAUGAUAUUUAUGCAUGGCCAUUGUUUAGAAAAUUAUGCAUUUUCUCAAUAUAUAUUUUAUUCAUUUGUACAGGAUCAAGAUGAAUUUGAAUAAAUUGAAUGAUUCUGAAGGACAAUGGACAAUCAUAUAAAAUCAUCACGAGGCAUAAGAUAGCAGCAUGGUCGUUUCUUAUGCUUGUUAGAAUUCUUCUAUCUUUUGUGUUAUUUGGAAAGCUUGAUAGUAGAAGGACCAUAAAGAAGGCAUAUAUUUUUAUAUUGAGCAGUUUGUUGAAUAUAUUGGAUGAUAUGUUAAGAAGUCCUAAUUUGACAAAAAUUGAUGGUUUUGGUGUGUAAUUACAUGUACUUUUAGCAACACAAUCAUUGUUUUUUAUGCUUGUAAGAAUUCCCUUGUCUCUUGUGGUAUUUGGGAAGCUUGAUUG